rnacentral:rRNA from 1 species
CUACGGGACGCUGCAGUGGGGAAUAUUGGACAAUGGGGGCAACCCUGAUCCAGCAAUACCGCGUGUGUGAAGAAGGCCUGCGGGUUGUAAAGCACUUUCGGUUGGGAGGACUGCUUCUAGCACUAAUAUUGUUGGAAGUUGACGUUACCUUCAGAAGAAGCACCGGCUAACUCCGUGCCAGCAGCCGCGGUAAUACGGAGGGGGCAAGCGUUAAUCGGAAUUACUGGGCGUAAAGCGCGCGUAGGCGGCUAGAUCAGUCGGGUGUGAAAGCCCCGGGCUUAACCUGGGAACUGCAUCCGAUACUGUCUAGCUUGAGUACAGGAGAGGAGAGUGGAAUUCCACAUGUAGCGGUGAAAUGCGUAGAUAUGUGGAGGAACACCAAUGGCGAAGGCAGCUCUCUGGCCUGAUACUGACACUGAGGUGCGAAAGCGAGGGGAGCAAACAGGAUUAGAUACCCUGGAAGUC